rnacentral:rRNA from 1 species
UUAAAUGUAGAGUGCUAUUUUUAGAGAUAGAAUUCCCGUUCGGGGCUUUCUGCAAGGUGCUGCAUGGUUGUCGUCAGCUCGUGCCGUGAGGUGUCGGGUUAAGUCCCAUAACGAGCGCAACCCUUAUCGUUAGUUGCCAUCUGGUAAUGCAGGGGACUCUAGCGAAACUGCCACCGUAAGGUGAGAGGAAGGUGGGAUGACGUCAAAUCAGCACGGCCCUUAUGUCCAGGGCUACACACGUGUUACAAUGGUCGGUACAGAGGGCAGCUACCUGGUGACAGGAUGCUAAUCUCGAAAACUGGUCUCAGUUCGGAUCGAAGUCUGCAACUCGACUUCGUGAAGCUGGAUUCGCUAGUAAUCGCGCAUCAGCUAUGGCGCGGUGAAUACGUUCCCGGGCCUU